AAUAAAGCUAUACUUAUAUCUGCAAUUCCUGGGAAAAUAAACAGAUUUCCAAGGAUUAUAAACUAGAUAAGUAUACAUUAUGAUAUUAUAAAUUAAUAGAAAAAUUCAUAAACUUAAACAUAUUAACAAGCAUCUCUUAAUAGAAAGCUACAUAUAAACAAACAUACAAACACAGACACAGACACAUACACACUCUAGACACCAUUUCCCAGCUGCUCAGGGCAAGAGAAUGAGGCCAAAGCUAACCCCUACAACUUAGAGGUCAGCUCUACAGCUUGUGCCAGUGUUUGUGGGUUGCUUCAUGCUCUUAAAUGAAAGAAACUAGAAAUACUUAAGAAGUGUAAACUUCUUGGUACCAGCCAUUUCCUCCAUAGUUGUUUUUUUGAUCAUUACAACUCAAAAACACAUGAAAAUUAUGACAGUUCAUGUUUAAAUUCAGAAAUGGGCAUUCUAUUUUUUUGAAACAAAAACGCCUGUUCAGUUGUCUUCUACAUACACUGUAUUUACUUAGUUUUUAAAGUAUAGUUAUUUUACAAAUGACAUGUUAGUUUCAGAUAUGCAGCACAGUGAUUUAGUUAUAUGUAUAUUUUAUAUAUAUAUUAUUUUUCAGAUUUGUUCCCCUUAUAAGUUAUUAUGAAAUAUUGAGUAUAGUUCCCUGUGCUAUGCAGUAGGUGCUUGUUGGUUAUCCGUUUUAUAUAUAGUAGUUUGUAUAUGUCCAUCUCAAACUCCUAAUUUAUCCCUCCACCACCACAUUUCCCCUUUGGUAACUAUAAGUUUGUUUUCUAUAUCUGUGGGUCUACUUCUGUUUUGUAAAUAAGUUCAUUUGUAUCUUUUUUUAGAUUCCACAUAUAAAUGAUAUCAAAUGAUAUUUGUCUUUGAACUUACUUCACUCAGUAUGAUGAUCUCUAGUCCCACACAUGCUGCUGCAAAUGGCAUUAUUUCAUUCUUUUUUGUGACUAAGUAAUAUUCCACUGUGUGUGUGUAUGUGUGUGUGUGUGUCUUCUUUACCCAUUUCUCUGUUGAUGGACAUUCAUUAGGUUGCUUUCAUGACUUGGUUAUUGUAAAUAGUGCUUCAGUAAACAUAGGGGUGCAUGUAUCUUUUCAAAUUAUAGUUUUCUCUAGAUGUAUGCCCAGGAGUGGGAUUGCUGGAUCAUAUACUGAUUUUAUCUAUAGUUUUUUUAAGGAACCUCCAUACUAUUCUCUACAGUGGCUGCACCGAUUUACAUUUCACCAACAGUAUAGGAUGGUUCCCUUUUUUCCACAUCCUCUCCAGCAUUUAUUGUUUGUUAACUUCUUGAUGAUGGCUAUUCUGACCGGAAUGAGGUGGUUAAAUACUUCAAUGCAGAGGGCUUUGGUGAGGCUAAUCUUUAUUUUGGUGGGAUAGAAAUUUUAAGCUUUUUCCAAAAAGGUUUUUUACUGUCCACUGAAUGCUUGAAAAGAAAUAAAGACUGGGAGGAAGUGCAUCGAAUUAUUCAGGAACAAGUGAAAACAACCUUCUCUUCUUGCAGGCAUCCUGGGCUCCUAAGAAAUGGUGCAGUGAGCCCUUCCAACUUGCAUGCCCUCUCAGUGCUCUGAAUUCUCCUGUAAUAGAACAUCUUCUUUAGGAAGACUCUGCCAUCUUGAUUUGCUCUGUAUCUUCACACAUGAUGUAAAAUCCAGGCAGACUGCCUCACUUGAAUUCUAAGAUAUGCCACUCACAAACCAGCAAAAGAAAGCUGUUGUGGGACCACUAAAAGACAAGACAAUCUGCCAGGAAGCUGCAAGCAGUGGUUACCAUAAAUUCUCACUUCGCAGAAACCAUGGCAGAGGAUGGGAGGCAGUGGUGCCAACCACGGUGUCCUCCAGCCCACCCAUCUCACUCCCCAAAGCCAGGAGCUGCUUCUAGGAGAGCAGAAACAGUGUAAUGGCAUUCCAAUUUUGCCAGAAUAUGUCUGAAAGAUGGCAAACUGGGUGGAGAGUAAAAGAAGAAACCAAGAGGUAAAAGAAAAUUAGGACCAUUAUUUUUUAACAUGAUUAAUAAUAUCUAAUUUGAAAUUACAGAAGGGACUGGUUUAUUUUGGUUUGGGAUUGUUGGUUGGUUGUUUUCUGAAUUAUACCACAAUCACAUUUUUAAGCCAGACCAUUGCUUACACAUUUUACUACUUUAUGCAAUUUUCAGCAUAUUGUAUUAACUUCUAAUGCUUUCUAGUACUUUUUUAAGCAUAUUUUGUCUUUUUUUUUUUAGGGCCACACCCACAGCAUAUAGAAGUUUCCAGGCUAGGGGCAGAUCCGAGCUGCAUCUGCAACCUACACCAAAGCUCAUGGCAACACUGGACCAUUUAACCCACUGAACAAGGCCACAGAUUAAAACUACAUCCUCAUGGAUACUAGUGAGACUUGUUACUGCUGAGUGAUGAUGGGAACUCCACUUUUCUAAGCAUAUUAUAUUGAAUUCUAAUCAGAGUAAAAUGAUAUAACAUAUUGCCUAUCAUGGUCUGUAUCAAGAGUGUCAGAGAUGUUUACCACAAUGGUUUCUAACUUAAGGUUAUCUUCUUUUAACAACUAACUUAAAGUAUAACAAAGCAGCAGCAUUUUGUAGACAUGCAAAAUUCUACAUCUGAUACAAUAGAUUUUUACCAAGUUGAAUAUUCUGAUAAAAAUUUGGAAGCAUUAAAAGUGUUAUAAGGCCUUUGGCACUCAAUCGAAAGAUGGAGUAUGGUUAAACUCUAGGCAAUUUGCUAGCAUGAUAUAAUUUGAGGGCUGCUGGACUUGUCCUCCAUCAGAAUAAAUCUCCUUCCCUGGGAAGCCUGGAAUGACAUCACCAUCAUUCUAUUCCUUUGGGUUAAAUGAUACCUGCUCCACAUGUCUGCUUUUAAGAUGCAGAUACCCAGCUGAGAAGGCCGGAAGUGACAUCUCCAACUCAGUAAUGUAAAUGAGAGAUGUGAGGGCACUGCUUCUGGAAUGAGAGCGAUUUGCGGGGAAGAAGGAAGCAGGGCUCAACCCCGACAAGCAUUAAGAUUCAUUAAGAUUCACUGGGUGUGAAUCAUGCCCACCCUUAUACUUAAGAGUUAUUCUCAAAUCCUUGGCAUAAAAUGGCAAUGCGGCCAGAGCUACCCUCAUCCUGGGCUAAUAGCCGGGGCGCUGUUGUGGGCAAGGAAAGCAUAUGCUUACCUGCAACAUCCUGCAGUAAGCCUUUAAGGGUCAUUUUUGGGUCUGUCUAGACAUAACUUUGAAGAUUUUUUUUGGUAGUAUUUGAUAUUUUUGGUAGCAAUGGUAUACUCAAGUUCAGAUUCGACUUUAAAGCCACUCUCUCUUUUUUGAAACUGAUGUCCAUCUCUUCACAGCUAUUUUCAGAUGAAAACAGGACCAUGGUCUCCUCACUGACAAUGAUUUUCCCAAUCCCUGACUCCAGCUACUAUACUCUAAAACCAAGAAGCUUUUAGUCAAUUGUCUUUGUAAUCUGCCCUAGAAUUGCUGUUUCGCUCUUAGCAAUGCCCUCUUAACAGAAAGCAUUUUAGAAGAGAGAAAAGUUAACUUUUUUGAACCCAUGUUUAAAGUUACACCCUCCCUAAAAUUCCUGAAACAGUUAACAGGUAGAUUAUAACACACUGAAGGGUGCAUUUUUUUCUGUGACACUGCCCUGAAUGGAUUCUUGCAAAUUCAGAUGCAGCCAUCUCUCCCAGCCUCCCAUCCCAUCACCUCAGCAACAGAAACCCUCGGAUGCCCUGGUCACUCCUCCGCAGCUUUGACGAGAGCACAUUCCCCAUGGGUGGUCUGGCUUUUACAAGUGUUUGGGCACAAAUACAUUAAUGUGAUCUCUUUUAAGCAGCUGAUUCUACUAUGCUUCCAUGGAAAAAUCAUCACACCAGUUCUCUGCUUUCUAAUAUACUUUCCUUAAAAUUGAGCAAUUCCAAAUACUGCACAAUUUCAUAUCAUUGCUGAUUCCUGGAUUCCCAUCGCCCUUAUGCCAUUCAGUCAAAAGCAUAUGCAUUGUAUUCAUGUUUUCAGCUCUGCUGUGCUCGGAGCAUCUCCAUGCUUUGCUGCACUGCAAUGAUAUUUAGUGUCCUGUCAGUUCCCCCAGUGGCAAGGAGUGAAACCAAACGGUUUGCUACUUAAUCGGCACAAACUGUGAACACUUACAAAAGAGACACAGGAAGGGCUGAUCCUGACUACAAAUAUCAAAAUGCUUUCCAAAUAGGUAAAAUUGCCUUGGCCUAUUGACAAGCAAAAUGUGCCCUUAACUUUUCAUUCUAAUUGAAAAGAUAAAACAAUCAUAUUUCAAGAAUCAGCUUUCUAUUGAUAAAUGCAAAUGAAGUUAAUUUAGAUGAGACACUGGGCACUUUUUCUCCCAUGACAGAAACAGGUUAUAUGAGAAAAAGGUUGUCCAGAGUCCCAGGAAGUAUUAAAAUAUUUUCUUCGUGAUUGGAAGGAAACCUUAUUUGCAACAGCUGUAACCUGAAGGCGAAAAUGCCUAAUUCACUCGUAGAUUAUUAAAAAGCAGCAGGACGUACUCAAAAUGAAAGGCCCUUAGUUCUUCAGAUUGAGGUGACUAGUUAAGGAGCAAAACAGCAGGACUUUUCAAGGGUUCUUUUUGAGGUCUGAGUUCUAAGAAAGUUGCAAAGGCUUCGUAAAGUUCCAGUGGCUCAGGAAAGAAGCUACCAAAUUAAAUUGAUUGCUUUUAAAAGAAGGGAAAGAAGAGAGAGUGAACAGUGAAUUAUUCACAAGGGCCCCCAUUAAUGAAAAUGUGUGUGUGUGUGUGUGUGUGUGUGUGUGUGUGUGUGUGUGUGUGUAACUGAUUUUCACAAAACACAAAUAUGUGGGUCAUUGCAAAAGCACAUCUAAAAUGAAGGGCAAGGGGGACACAAAGAUCCAUUUUAGACAGCUAUCCACCAACUCUUAAACUUCCGGACUCUUAUCAAAAAAGAGCCCACCCACCUCCUGUUUCAUGACUAUACAUUUGUUUCAGUCUCUACCUCCUUGUUCAGGCAGACAUCCUUUUUUCCUCCUUUGUUCUGUCCAACUGUUUUACUCUUUUUUUCUGCUCCUUGUAACCUCUGUCAUUUUUCAGCAGACUCUUGCUCUGUGCCAUGACCUUGCCCAUGUUCUUUCAGGUCAGAGCUCCUUGAACUUCUCCCUGACCCUGACUCUUGUUCCAGCUUCAUUCUUGUCCUAGAGCUGUUUGCCAGAGGGUUUCCUGGCAGCCUUCUGGGGUGGGUGUGGGGGGAGCAGUUGCAGUGUCAGCAUGACUAAACAACCCAAUCAGGGCACAUAAGCUCCUUAUUGACAGAAUCUUCCCAGAGGUGGAAAGCAUGAGUCAAUUUUGAACUUGAAAAUUUUGCAUGGUUUCCAAAUGUCCUGAAUGUAUUCUCCUGUUUCAUGUGAUUAUCACUUUGCAGCAUGCUGCUGGCUACCUAAAUCCCAUGCAAAUCGCUUGGAAGAUGUAGGCUUGGUAAAAAAUACUGUCCCACGUGUACAAUUAGAACCAAGCUUUAUUCCCUACAAAUCUAGCUCUAAGCAAUGAAAAAGGGAGGUUAUUAUUAUUUUUAAUAUUAAUAGCAACUAUUAACUGUUAAUUUAGCCUAAAUCAUCUGCAAGGGAAAUCUGUGCUGCUUGCUUGUUAGUUGAGUGGAGUGCAUGAUAAUAUUCUGUUGUGUGCUAUGUGGCAUACUCUGUUGCUAGGUUACCCAGAGCAUCAGGAAUUCAGGGAACAAUGUACUUAUAUCUUUUUCAAUUUUGAAAAAUAAAAUAGGUAUUGACAUAAAAUACAGUGUGGCACUGAAGUAAUUUUGUAGUGGAGAGAUCAGAGGAAGGGGGCCUUUCAUCUCGGUGACAGCAGUUUACUCCUCGUUGUGACUUACUGAGGGCAGUGGCAGGACAGCACAACAGGACAUCAGUCUCUGGAAGAAUGCUUGUGGU
rnacentral:lncRNA from 1 species